CCUCGGACCCCGCUGUCGGGCGAAGCCAGGGUUGCCGGCCCGGCCGCAGAGCAGCCCCGGGAUGGAGCGCUGCCGGCGCGCCCCGGAGGACGGGAAAGGGCGCAGCGUCGGGCGGGUGAUGCCAGGUCUGAAGGAGCCCCGCGCGGGCGCGCUGCGAGGCGCAGGCUGGACGGGAGGGGGCCCGUAGGACGGCCUAGGCCAUCAGGUGCCAAUGGGACCUUGCCCUUCUUAAAGCCCGGGCUGUGCCUGGGGGACGGGCGGCUCCCGAGACUGAGCUACUCCGGGCUGGCCGGUAAACAACUGCGCUCUUAGAAGGGUGGUUCGAAAAUCCUCGAGGUUCCAGGAUUUUCUACGGCUUGUAGAGACCUCGCAACACUUGCUCACGGGAGAGGAAACAAGUGAGCAUGCCUUUCCGUCUACCUGAUCUAAAUUAAAGCAGUUUUCUGCACAGACAGGAGCUGUAGAAGAGAAUCAGGAAGUACACCGUGGCACUUCCUGGGAACAGAAGUAAUUGGGGAGAGGCCGUUGUCUUUCCACUUAGGAACAGCUUCUUCUAAUCUGGAAAAGCAAAUAUGAAUUUACAGGGUCCGUUCAGCACAAAGCCAAGAGAACUUCAUGUUGAUGAAAGUCUGCCAAAGCAACCAUAGCAGCAGCAUGGGCUGACGGCAGGUGGAAAGACUGUGGGACUGCCCACGCCGGCUGCCGGCUCUGCAACUCCACACGGCAUCUCCCUGAGACCGCUCUCCACGCGGUGCUCCCUUCAGGUCGUCAGGAGCCUCUCCUCUCCUGGCUGUGGACCUCUGACAGAAUGUGGCCACAUUCCCUACUGCCUCAUCACCCACGCGUCCCCCGGUGCCCGUCCUGGCUUUGCCCCGUCCACUCCUGGGAAGCUGACAUCCCUGAGGCCACCACGAACCUUCAAGCAGCCCAAACCAGGGCCCGCCUGCUCCCUCGGCUUGUGUAACUCGGCUCCCUCCGGGCUUCCUUCCA